ACCUCCGGUCAGGUGAA
rnacentral:rRNA from 1 species